AAUUGUCCCAGGAACAGUGACAGCCAAGAUACACAGCAAGCUCACGUAAGAGGAAUGACCUGAUUUUCUCCAGGCCUUUCUAAGAGCAGCAUUUGGAUAAUUGGCACACGGGACUAGGCCUGGCUUAUGCAAAUGAAUGUGUGACAUUCCAGUGUACCAAUCACUUGUCAGACUCACUUUCUGUUGUCAACUAUCUUCAGCAUUCACUUUGGCAACAACAUCUCGAUUUUAUGAAAAAUAAAAUAAACGUAAAACAUUAAGAUAAAAACACCUAAAAGUAUAUGGACUGGGAUUGACAUCUGAAAAGGAAAGCGUGGAAUGGAAAAACAGAGAGACAUGAAAACUGGAGGGCUGAAGAAGUCAAUACUGAAGGAGGAGGGGACAGGGACAAAUGGCAUCAAGAUUGUUUGAGAAGGAUUCAAGUAAUCAUAUUAAACAUCUACUAAAAACU